GCCAUAUUAAAUCAGGAUGGAGCCAAGAACAGAAGUGCUGUGCCCAGCGUUCCUUAGAUAGCCUGAAGGGAACUUUUCCAAGAGUCAAAUGCUUGCAUUUGCCUUGUUAAAGAAUAUGUCCCUGAACUAAGCUUUUCCAGGACACAGAAAAGGAGCAAGAGCCCUUAUUGAAAAGAUUAUCUUUGCCAUUAAUAAUCCCCAUGUAACCAAUCCUUAUUAGUAAACCCCAUGGCAAAAUCUGACAUAUUUACUGCUUGUAGUUAACUUUAUGUAUCUGCAACAAUAUUCAUAAUCAAGAGCCGGUGACCACAGCAAAUCGUUCGAGCCUUGAAAAUGAUCAAGUGAAAACUUAAUUGUACUGAAAAGAGCAGCGUCCUGACAAGUCUGAAACCUUUUCCAUCCACACACACACUGCUCCAGAAAAAGAGACCCUUUCCUGAGAUGAAAAAAGUAUGUUGCAAGGAUUGAAAACAUAAGAAUACAUAUUUUAAGAAAGAAAGAAAGAAACACCCUGAUAUCACAGGCUGAGCUGAAACAGAAACCUGAUCUUUGUAUGGAACGGGCAACAUUUGGGUCUGUUUUAUGUGAAUUGCUCCAAGCUGUUUUUGUUAGAAAUGUAUAGAUUGUAAGGUAAGGCAUGCAAUGUAGGCAGUCUCAGUCAUAUACACUUUUGGAACAUGGUUCUCCAUUGCUUUUUACCUAUCCAGCAUCAGGGCCAAUGCUUUUCUUCCUUCAGUGGCCUGAGAAAAUUCUUCCACAGACACAGGAUUGACCCAGCUGGACAAGCAAGUCAGCUGUCACUGUGGAGAGCAAUAAAACUGAACAGUGCAUGACAGGUAUAUGAACUCUUAUUACAGAGUUUGCUAGAGCACACUUCUUUAGCCAUUCAAGGGUUAUACCUUAACUGUAUCCACAAUUCUAAACAGCAGGGCGGGGCAACUAAACCUUUCUUCUGGAGGCCCAACAAACAAGUUAUUGCAGCCCCAAAGUUUCCAAUAACUUUGGCAGUGAAGAAAAAUUGGGGGAAUCAUCAAAGUAGAUACAAGUACUGUAGUCCUUCCUUACUUAUGGGAGUUAAGUUCCAUUAGAGUGGCAUGAAUCCUAAACCUUGCAAAUAGCAAGAGAGCCAGAGAGCUAUGUUUUGUAGCCCCCAAAACACUAGAAAAGUGCCAGAUUCUGGCACAAGUUAUAAAGAUCCAAGUCAUUUCCAUGGGAAGAGGGCCAGAAAUAGCAGAUGUGGAAUGCUAGAGCAUGGAAUAUCC
rnacentral:lncRNA from 1 species